rnacentral:rRNA from 1 species
UACAGAGGGUGCAAACGUUGUUCGGAAUUACUGGGCUUAAAGCGCGCGUAGGCGGCGUCGUAAGUGUCGGGUGAAAUCCCACGGCUCACCCGUGGAACUGCCCGGCAUACUGCGACGCUAGAGUGUGGUAGGGAAGAGCGGAACUCCUGGUGGAGCGGUGAAAUGCGUAGAUAUCAGGAGGAACACCGGUGGCGAAGGCGGCUCUUUGGUCCACAACUGACGCUGAGGUGCGAAAGCGUGGGGAGCAAACAGG